rnacentral:rRNA from 1 species
AGAGUUUGAUCCUGGCUCAGGACGAACGCUGGCGGUGUGCUUCACACAUGCAAGUCGAGCGAAUGAAGAAGGUAGCUUGCUACUUUUGGAUUUAGCGGCGGACGGGUGAGUAAUAUAUAGGAAUCUGCCCUAGAGCGGGGAACAACAGACCGAAAGGUUUGCUAAUGCCCCAUAGGUACGCAGUCUUCGGAUUGUUUAUUAAAGGAGUAAUCCACUCUAGGAUGAGCCUGUAUCCGAUUAGCUAGUUGGCGGGGUAAAGGCCCACCAAGGCUACGAUCGGUAGUUGGUCUGAGAGGAUGAUCAGCCACAAUGGGACUGAGACACGGCCAUACUCCUACGGGAGGCAGCAGUGGGGAAUUUUACACAAUGGGGGAAACCCUGAUGUAGCGACACCGCGUGAACGAAGAAGCCUUUUGGGGUGUAAAGUUCUGUCGGCUGGAACGAAAAAAAUGACGGUACCAGCAAAGGAAGCAUCGGCUAACUACGUGCCAGCAGCCGCGGUAAGACGUAGGAUGCAAGCGUUGUCCGGAUUUAUUGGGCGUAAAGAGUUCGUAGGCGGUUAUUUAAGUCUGGUGUUAAAUACUGUGGCCCAACCACAGAACUGCAUUGGAUACUGGAUGACUUGAGUGCGGUAGAGGCGAGUGGAAUUCCCAGUGUAGCGGUGAAAUGCGUAGA